AUUCCAGCUCCAAUAGCGUAUAUUAAAGUUGUUGCAGUUAGAACGCUCGUAGUCGGAUUUCGGGGCGGUCCGACCGGUCUGCCGAUGGGUACGCACUGGUCGGAGCGUCCUUUUUGCCGGAGACCGUGCCUACUCUUAACUGAGCGGGGGCGGGAGACGGCACUUUUACUUUGAAAAAAUCAGAGUGUUUCAAGCAGGCAGCUCGCUCUUGCAUGGAUUAGCAUGGGAUAAUGAAAUAGGACUUUGGUGCUAUUUUGUUGGUUUCGAACACCGAAGUAAUGAUGAGAAGGGACAGUCAGGGGCACUCGUAUUCCGCAGAGAGAGGUGAAAUUCUCAGACCCGCGGAAGACGAACCACUGCGAAAGCAUUUGCCAGGGAUGUUUUCAUCA
rnacentral:rRNA from 1 species